AUCAUUGCUAACGAGAUAUUCAGUACGUAUAUCAGUGAGGAUUCGUCCGAGAUUACGUUUUUGCUAGUUGAAAACUACAACAAGACUACUCCCUCGUCGAUACGUCGGCUUGGGGAAUUUUUGUACACAUUCGUCUCGACAAGAGAUCUCUUUUUCUUUCAUUGUG
rnacentral:snRNA from 1 species